UGUGAAGAAAAAAAAUGCUGAGAAUUGAACAAAGCAUACAUGCCACACAACCAAGGAUCUUUGGCUUUCUUGGUGGUCCGCAAUGAGAUUGAGGAGAAGAAACUUAAUGCGGAGGAAUGUGAUCGAACUAGCUUUUUUAAAUUCACCCAUUUCAAAGAAGGAAAGGGUUGGAUGCCCCUAGAAGCUGAGCUACUAUAGGAGUGAUACCUGAUGUAAUUUGGAAAGCAAAUAUUACGGAUGUACAAAAUGGCAAGCUGGGAU